UGCUCUGAUGAAAUCACUUAUAGGAAGUGCCGUCAGAAGCGAUACUAGCCAUUCUGACA
ensembl:snoRNA